rnacentral:rRNA from 1 species
UGAUCCUGCCAGUAGUCAUAUGCUUGUCUCGCAGACUAAGCCAUGCACGCCUAAGUGUAAAUAUUUUACAGUGAAACUGCGGAUGGCUCAUUACAACAGUUAUCGUUUGCUUGGACGGUUAUAAACGGAUAUCUGUGGUAAUUCUACAGUUAAUACGUAUCACUUCUAUGAAGUGUUGCAUAUUACUGUGAAUAUUCGACGAAGGGAUCUUCGUCUGGCCCGAAUACUUGUAUGCACGAAUCGCAUAAUUUAUGCGAAAGUCCAUCAAAGUUUCUGACCUAUCAGGUUCCGACGGUAGGGUAUUGGCCUACCGUGCCGAUAACGGGUAACGGGGAAUUAGGGUUUGAUUCCAGAGAGGGAGCCUGAGAAAUGGCUACCACAUCUAAGGAAGGCAGCAGGCGCGCAAAUUACCGAUCCCUGACACAGGGAGGUAGUAAACAGAAAUAAUGACGCAUGAUUUUAAUCGUGUGAUCGGAAUGAAUGGUUUUUAAACAAACAUGAAAUCGAUUGGAGGCAAGUCU